CGCGAGGCAGCUGGGUCCACCCCCACAUCGAGGGUCCGCAGCGCUGCUUCCGGCCUCACCAACUCCCAACUUCCGAGUCCACGGAUGGGCCGUAGGCCCCAUUGGUGGAGCCUGGUCACAUGAUCACACCCUACUGCGAGGAAUGCUGGGAAAGAGAGGAUGCGAGGAGCGCUGGGGAUGAGAAGAACAGGCAUUUCCGGUGAAGCACCGGCACUUCCGGUUCUGCUUGCGCCCAGGAUGCGCUGAGCGCUCCGUUCCUGAAAUGCGGGUGCAGGUGUUAGAUUCUGGGACGCCACAAAGGAAUGGCCAGUCUUUACUCCGCUUGAUGAGCAUCUUUAAAACCUAUCACCCAGCGUGAUCCGAAAUGUUCAGGGGGACAUAAAGUCUUUAACUUUCAAACGAUCCAGCAGAGAGGGAGAGAGAGAGAGAGACCGAGAAGAAGAGACAGAGGGAAGGAGGGUUGAGAAUGCAGGCGCUGUGCAUUCUUCGCAAGCGUGAAUUCAGUCCCGCCGAGGGCUUGCAGUCGGCCACGGUGGGGGAUGGAUGCCACAGAGGUUGGCAAACCUUUUCCCCCAGGCAGCUGGUUUAUUAAGCUUUUUCCAGCGCUCCGCUAGGAAGGUCUUUCCCGUCUGCCUUUCCGGGCUUCCUGCAAUCACCAGGUCAAGUUCACCUACGUCCCGCUCUGCUGAGUCCUUUCCUCUCCCUUGCCUCUCCUUGAGCCGGUUCAGUUUGGCCCUGCCUUCAGGUCCAGAAUGACUUCCUUCUCCGCCCUUCAAGAUAAUAGAUCGAGAGGGCGGAUGCUGGGCUGAACCGGCAGCAGCAGUCUCAUCAGCCUCAAGAGUGCCUGGUGACGCCUCUGAGCACAGAAUGCCAUUCCUGUUACUUUUCCCGGACCCGCAUCAACGCCUCCUGAAAAGCUGGCCUCCUGAGAAAGGUGAUCUCCGUCAUGGAAGAGAGAGACAGAGCAUGAACAGGGAGGAGCAGAGAGAGAGGGAGACACAGAAUCCGAAGCUGGCUCCAGGCUCCGAGCUGUCGGCACAGAGCCCGACGCAGGGCUCGAACUCACAGACUAUGGUCUCACUGUUGUUUUCAAACAAGGUACACAUUCGCAGAAAAUUACAUAGCAAUCCUACGGACUUAGAUAAGAAUUAAAGAUUUACGUUCUCGUGUUCUUGGUGGUGCCUUCGGCACGAGUGAAAACCAAACAAACAGAAAAUCAGGCAAACAACAGAAAAAAAAAACCCAACCCUGCAGGCCUCCGGGUUCUCCAGAUCCGGAGAUUUCAGCUUAGGUCAUGAGCUCAUGGGGUUGUGAGUUCGAGCCCCACAUGGGGCUCUACAGUGACAGCGCAGAGCCUACUUGGGAUUCCCUCUCUCCCCCUUUCUCUCUCUCUG